UACGGGGGGGGCAAGCGUUGUUCGGAAUUACUGGGCGUAAAGGGUUUGUAGGUGGCUCGCUAAGUCAGACGUGAAAUCCCUCAGCUUAACUGGGGAACUGCGUCUGAGACUGAUGAGCUCGAGUGCAGGAGAGGAACGCGGAAUUCCAGGUGUAGCGGUGAAAUGCGUAGAUAUCUGGAGGAACACCGGUGGCGAAGGCGGCGUUCUGGACUGCAACUGACACUGAAAAACGAAAGCCAGGGGAGCAAACGGG
rnacentral:rRNA from 1 species